AACGCACCUUGCGCUCCUUGGUAUUCCGAGGAGCAUGCCUGUUCGAGUGUCAUUAAAUUCUCAACCUUACCAGCUUUUGUUAGUUGGUAAUGGCUUGGAUUUGGGGGUUUACUUUUGCUGGCUUUGUUUAUAAGUCUGCUCCCCUUAAAUACAUUAGCUGGUCACUCUGUGGAUCAUCUAUUGGUGUGAUAAUUAUCUACGCCAUUGGAUAUCUGCUUUAAUAUGAGCUUGACUGCUUCUAAUCGUCCUUUGGACAAUUAAUGACUAUUUGACCUCGAAUCAGGUAGGACUACCCGCUGAACUUAA
rnacentral:misc_RNA from 1 species